AUUGAACGCUGGCGGCAUGCUUUACACAUGCAAGUCGAACGGCAGCGCGGGCUUCGGCCUGGCGGCGAGUGGCGAACGGGUGAGUAAUACAUCGGAACGUGCCCAGUAGUGGGGGAUAGCUCGGCGAAAGCCGGAUUAAUACCGCAUACGACCUGAGGGUGAAAGCGGGGGAUCUUCGGACCUCGCGCUAUUGGAGCGGCCGAUGGCAGAUUAGCUAGUUGGUGGGGUAAAGGCCUACCAAGGCGACGAUCUGUAGCUGGUCUGAGAGGACGACCAGCCACACUGGGGCUGAGACGCGGCCCUGACUCCUACGGGAGGCCGCAGUGGGGAAUUUUGGACAAUGGGCGAAAGCCUGAUCCAGCAAGGGCGCGUGUGUGAUGAAGGCCUUCGGGUUGGAAAGCACUUUUGGCGGGAACGAAAAGGAUUGUGCCAAUACCACGGUUCGAUGACGGUACCCGCAGAAUAAGCACCGGCUAACUACGUG
rnacentral:rRNA from 1 species